GCUCUAAUAGCGUAUAUUAAAGUUGUUGCAGUUAAAAAGCUCGUAGUCGGAUGUCGGGCUCGGGGAGCUGUCGGCCUUUGGUCGGACGGCAUGUCCGGGCCUUCUGCCUGGGGAUCCUAUUCUACUUAACUGUAGGGUAGUGGGACGCAGGCCGUUUACUUUGAAAAAAUUAGAGUGUUCAAGCAGGCCUACGCUUGAAU
rnacentral:rRNA from 1 species